rnacentral:rRNA from 1 species
CGGACGGGUGAGUAACACGUGGAUAACCUACCUAUAAGACUGGGAUAACUUCGGGAAACCGUAGCUAAUACCGGAUAAUAUAUUGAACCGCAUGGUUCAAUAGUGAAAGACGGUUUUGCUGUCACUUAUAGAUGGAUCCGCGCCGCAUUAGCUAGUUGGUAAGGUAACAGCUUACCAAGGCAACGAUGCGUAGCCGACCUGAGAGGGUGAUCGGCCACACUGGAACUGAGACACGGUCCAG